UACGAAGGGGGCUAGCGUUGCUCGGAAUCACUGGGCGUAAAGCGCACGUAGGCGGCUUCUUAAGUCAGGGGUGAAAUCCUGGAGCUCAACUCCAGAACUGCCUUUGAUACUGAGGAGCUCGAGUCCGGGAGAGGUGAGUGGAACUGCGAGUGUAGAGGUGAAAUUCGUAGAUAUUCGCAAGAACACCAGUGGCGAAGGCGGCUCACUGGCCCGGUACUGACGCUGAGGUGCGAAAGCGUGGGGAGCAAACAGG
rnacentral:rRNA from 1 species